ACUGAAAUGAAUGCUUCCGUUAUAAGCUCUCAGGAAUGUUGCCUGCAUACAUAAUAAAGCAAACAAUUACUAGUUAAUGUCUGUAAUACAGAUAAUUUUGGGGGUAGGGAGGCUGCAUAGAGGAGGAACUGUAUCUCAUCAUUUAUUCCACUCCAAAAAGUAUUGGCAUUAUGGAUAUGGCAGGCAGCAACAAUAGAAAUUAAGAGAAAAUUGGACAUGUAUAUAAAGGAUGAAUAAAGAAAUAAAUGCAACACAUUUACACUAUUCAGUCACUAUGACUUUCUCUAGAACCUACUAUUCUCAUUGCUAUGGUCUAAAAGGCCCCUAAAAUUCAUGUGUUAAAAUUUUAUCAACAAUGUGAUAGUAUUCAGAGGUGAGGCCUUCAGUAGAUGAUUAAGUCAUGAGAAUACAACCCUGAUGAAUGGAAUUAGCAACCUUAAAAUGGAGCUUGAGGAAAUGAGUUCACCCUGUCCGUCACUUUCGCCAUUUGAGAACACAGCAUUCUCUCCUCCAGAGGAUGUAGCAACAAGCACUUGACAACAGAGAACAAGCCAUCACCAGACAACAAACUUUCUGCAACCUUUAAGCGUGGAUUUCCCGGCCUUGAGAACUGUGAAGA
rnacentral:lncRNA from 1 species